UGCGUAGGCGGUUCUUUGUGUCCGCUGUGAAAUCCCCGGGCUUAACCUGGGAAUGGCAGUGGAAACUAGAGGACUUGAAUCUGGCAGAGGGGGUGGAAUGCCACGUGUAGCAGUGAAAUGCGUAGAUAUGUGGCGGAACACCGAUGGCGAAGGCAGCCCCCUGGGCUGAGAUUGACGCUCAGGCACGAAAGCGUGGGGAGCAAACAGGAUUAGAUACCCUGGUAGUCCACGCCCUAAACGAUGUCAACUAGGUGUUGGGGAAGCAAUUUCCUAGUACCGCAGCUAACGCGUGAAGUUGACCGCCUGGGGAGUACGGUCGCAAGAUUAAA
rnacentral:rRNA from 1 species